AACGCACAUUGCGCCCGGCAGUACUCUGCCGGGCAUGCCUGUUCGAGCGUCAUUUCAACCCUCAAGCCCUGCUUGGUGUUGGGGCCCCACGGCUGCCGUGGGCCCUGAAAGGAAGUGGCGGGCUCGCUACAACUCCGAGCGUAGUAAUUCAUCAUCUCGCUUAGGGCGUUGGGCGGCGCUCCAGCCGUUAAAGAACCAUCUUUAACUCAAGGUUGACCUCGGAUCAGGUAGGAAUACCCGCUGAACUUAA
rnacentral:misc_RNA from 1 species